AUACGUAGGGGGCAAGCGUUGUCCGGAAUUAUUGGGCGUAAAGCGCAUGUAGGCGGCUUGGUAAGUCGGUCGUGAAAAUGCGGUGCUUAACGCCGUAUGGCGAUCGAAACUGCUGAACUUGAGUGCAGGAGAGGAAAGGGGAACUCCCAGUGUAGCGGUGAAAUGCGUAGAUAUUGGGAAGAACACCGGUGGCGAAGGCGCUUUGCUGUACGAGGUAGGAAUCGCGGAUGCGAAAGCCAGGGUAGCGAACGGGAUUAUAGGCCCCGGUGUGCCGGUCGGUAAACGAUGGGUACUAACUGUGGGAGUAAGCGGCGCUGUCGGUGUUGGAGUUAAGUCAAUAAGUACCCCGCCUGGGGAGUACGGCCGCAAGGCUUAAACUCAAAUGAAUUGACGGG
rnacentral:rRNA from 1 species